CCUACGGGAGGCAGCAGUGAGGAAUAUUGGUCAAUGGGCGAGAGCCUGAACCAGCCAAGUCGCGUGAAGGAUGACGGCCCUACGGGUUGUAAACUUCUUUUGUCAGGGAGCAAUUGGGUCCACGCGUGGGCUUACAGAGAGUACCUGAAGAAAAAGCAUCGGCUAACUCCGUGCCAGCAGCCGCGGUAAGACGGAGGAUGCGAGCGUUAUCCGGAGUUAUUGGGUUGAAAGGUUGCUGAGGCGGAAUAUCAAGUCAGAGGUAAAAAUUCGGGGCUCAACCCCGUCGUGCCGUUGAAACUGGUGUUAUUUAGUGGGCGAGAGGUAUGCGGAAUGCGUGGUGUAGCGGUGAAAUGCAUAGAUAUCACGCAGAACUCCGAUUGCGAAGGCAGCAUACCGGCGCCCAACUGACGCUGAAGCACGAAAGCGUGGGUAUCGAACAGGAUUAGAUACCCCAGUAGUC
rnacentral:rRNA from 1 species